AAACUUCGCAAUGUGCGCAAGCACGACGAGGGAAUCCUAAGUGCCUAUGCUUUGCAUAGGCUGUUCCUGUCUAAAAAACAGGGGGAGUAAGGGCUGGGUAAGACGGGUGCCAGCCGCCGCGGUAAUACCCGCAGCCCAAGUGGUGAUCGUUAUUAUUGGGUUUAAAACGUCCGUAGCUGGUCUAGUAAAUUCCUGGGUAAAUCGAAUUGCUUAACAAUUCGAAUUCCGGGUAGACUGCUAGACU
rnacentral:rRNA from 1 species